rnacentral:rRNA from 1 species
UACGAAGGGGGGCUAGCGUUGCUCGGAAUUACUGGGCGUAAAGCGAGUGUAGGUGGUUGUCCAAGUUGGAUGUGAAAGCCUUGAGCUUAACUCAAGAAAUGCAUUCAGGACUGGGCGACUAGAGGACCGGAGAGGAUAGUGGAAUUCCCAGUGUAGUGGUGAAAUACGUAGAGAUUGGGAAGAACACCAGUGGCGAAGGCGGCUAUCUGGACGGUUUCUGACACUAAGACUCGAAAGCGUGGGGAGCAAACAGG